GACGAACGCUGGCGGCGUGCUUAACACAUGCAAGUCGAACGGAAAGGCCCUGCUUUUGUGGGGUGCUCGAGUGGCGAACGGGUGAGUAACACGUGAGUAACCUGCCCUUGACUUUGGGAUAACUUCAGGAAACUGGGGCUAAUACCGGAUAGGAGCUCCUGCUGCAUGGUGGGGGUUGGAAAGUUUCGGCGGUUGGGGAUGGACUCGCGGCUUAUCAGCUUGUUGGUGGGGUAGUGGCUUACCAAGGCUUUGACGGGUAGCCGGCCUGAGAGGGUGACCGGCCACAUUGGGCCUGCGAUACGGCCCAGACUCCUACGGGGGGCAGCAGUGGGGAAUAUUGCACAAUGGGCGGAAGCCUGAUGAAGCAACGCCGCGUGCGGGAUGACGGCCUUCGGGUUGUAAACCGCUUUCGCCUGUGACGAAGCGUGAGUGACGGUAAUGGGUAAAGAAGCACCGGCUAACUACGUG
rnacentral:rRNA from 1 species